rnacentral:rRNA from 1 species
UACGUAGGGGGCAAGCGUUGUCCGGAAUCACUGGGCGUAAAGCGCGCGCAGGCGGUCUUUCACGUCCGGGGUGAAAGCCCAGAGCUCAACUCUGGGAUUGCCUUGGAUACGGGGAGACUUGAGGGUCGGAGAGGCAAGGGGAAUUCCACGUGUAGCGGUGAAAUGCGUAGAGAUGUGGAGGAACACCUGUGGCGAAGGCGCCUUGCUGGCCGACUUCUGACGCUGAGGCGCGAAAGCUAGGGGAGCAAACAGG